GAUUUCUGUUGCGAUGCGCCUGGCCCGGCCAGCAAUGGUUCGAGUGCCGGUAGCGCGUCCAACAUCCUUCUCGACGGUCUACGUACGUGUAAAAAGCGUACGCCCGCUGAGAUCUUUUACUUUGAAAAAAUUAGAGUGUUUAAAGCAGGCUUAUGCCUUGAAUACAUUAGCAUGGAAUAAUAAUAUAGGACUUGAUUCUUAUUUUGUUGGUUUCUAGGAGUUAAGUAAUGAUUGAUAGGGAUAGUUGGGGGUGCUAGUAUUCAGCGGCCAGAGGUGAAAUUCUUUGAUUCGCUGAAGACUAACUUAUGCGAAAGCAUU
rnacentral:rRNA from 1 species